rnacentral:rRNA from 1 species
UGCUUCUCUGAUAGUUAGCGGCGGACGGGUGAGUAACACGUAGGCAACCUGCCCUCAAGCUUGGGACAACUACCGGAAACGGUAGCUAAUACCGAAUAGUUGUUUUCUUCUCCUGAAGAGAACUGGAAAGACGGAGCAAUCUGUCACUUGGGGAUGGGCCUGCGGCGCAUUAGCUAGUUGGUGGGGUAACGGCUCACCAAGGCGACGAUGCGUAGCCGACCUGAGAGGGUGAUCGGCCACACUGGGACUGAGACACGGCCCAGACUCCUACGGGAGGCAGCAGUAGGGAAUCUUCCGCAAUGGGCGAAAGCCUGACGGAGCAAUGCCGCGUGAGUGAUGAAGGUUUUCGGAUCGUAAAGCUCUGUUGCCAGGGAAGAACGCUUGGGAGAGUAACUGCUCUCAAGGUGACGGUACCUGAGAAGAAAGCCCCGGCUAACUACGUGCCAGCAGCCGCGGUAAUACGUAGGGGGCAAGCGUUGUCCGGAAUUAUUGGGCGUAAAGCGCGCGCAGGCGGUCAUUUAAGUCUGGUGUUUAAUCCCGGGGCUCAACCCCGGAUCGCACUGGAAACUGGGUGACUUGAGUGCAGAA